ensembl:snRNA U1 U1 spliceosomal RNA
AUACUUACCUGGCAGGGGAGACACCGUGAUCAGGAAGGUGGUUUUCCCAGAGUGAGGCCCAUCCAUUGCACUUGGGAUGUGCUGACCCCUGCGAUUUUUCCCAAAUGUGGGAAACUCAACUGCCUAAUUUGUGGUAAUGGGGGACUGCGUUUGUGCUUUCCCCUG